CCUUCUAUAGCUCAGUCGGUAGAGUGGUGGCCUGUAGACUAAAUGACAACAAUCCUUAGGUUGCUGGUUCAAAAUCUGGCUAGAGGGA
rnacentral:tRNA from 1 species